ensembl:lncRNA
CAGUGGGGAGGAGGAACUGUGCAGAAAAGGAAGUAGUGUGUGUGAACGAGCGCGUCUGUGUCUUGGGCGUGACGGCUGGAUAAACCACACUACGGGGUUGGGCAGGGCUGUGUAUCUUGGAAACUGGUGUGUCUUUGUUGUCAGGGCUCUUCGGGAGAUAAGAGUGAGCAUGGAGCGUCCCUCCUCUGCAGCCCGAGGAAAACACCCAACACGGGUGUCUCCAUCACCCAGAGUGCCCGGCGUCCUGCAGUCCUUCCACAGCAGAAAGCGGGCACAGGAUGCCGGGAGCCUGCCCGGGUGCGGUUUCUACACAAAAUCUCUCCAUGUGUCUCAGCACCACCGUGUCGCUGUCGAGGCACACGCCAACGUCCUUCUCAGCGAAUGGUUUGCUGCACUUAAUUUCCAGCCAUGAUUAAAAACAGCACUUUGCCUCUUGUACCCCUGGAUCCUCACUUUCAGAAGGGCGUUUUUUUUUUCUGUCUCUUCAAAUGGCUUCUCUUUGAUAUGGAAAGAAUUAAGUUGCUUUCACUUGGUCUAUUUCCACUCUCCCAUCUGAAAGUGUUCAACCCUGAGAUACAGGCAGCAAGGCCAUGCCAGGACAACAAGGUCACUAGGAGAUGAAGCUGGCAUUUGGGUUUGUGGGGACCAUAAACUCCUAAAUAGUAAAGAGUUGGACCCGAGUGAGAGACUGGACUGAACUGAACUGAGCCCACCAUUAGGAAGGAAAGUCCUCAGCAGCAAACCUCUGCCGGGACUGGGGUCUGAUUGCAAGCUGUGUGCCCUCAGGCUGAGCUGACACUCCCUGCAGAGGGCCGCCAGGCCUGCUCUGGGAGUCAGAGCGGCGCUGCGUCAAACAGAGCUGGGGAGACAGGGAUUUUCACUGUUACCAGGGACGGAAACACCGAGAGGUCAAGGAGGCUCGUCACACACCCAGAAAACACACCCAGCUUUCAGAAGCAGAGCACUGCUGCAGGGCUGACAUUUGGGGCCCGCCCUCAGAACCUGCCCCUUCAACGGCUCCGUACUCCAGGGAAGGCCUCCUCAGCUUCAAGGCGCCAGGAGUCAUAAAUCCAUAUUUAAUUAGCUCUGAAUGAAACGCUGAAGGUGAUAGGAUCUUUGUGCUGAAAAUGAAACCCGAAUGGGUCUGGGUGAUUUAUGUCUAAUUCAGACUUGUAAUUUAAUUAAAACGACAUACUGAAUUUAAAAAAAGCCUCUCUGGCAGAGUCCUUCCCACCUGAAAUUCAAAUGCACCGUGUGCUCUGUCG